ensembl:lncRNA
GGAAAAGGCUCUUCAGUCUUUCAUCCUCCAUUUGGUUUAAUUACAGUCUGUUGCCAUGGUGCUGGGGUAGUUCCUUCUCUGAAAAUAGAGUUCCAAGAUGCGUCCCACAUGGCACCCUAUUCCCUAUAUAUAGUGCACUACUUUAGACCUGGACCCUAUUCCCUAUAUAGUGCACUACUUUAGACCUGGACCCUAUUCCCUAUAUAGUGCACUACUUUAGACCUGGGCCCUAUGGCACCCUAUUCCCUAUAUAUAGUGCACUACUUUAGACCUGGGCCCUAUGGCACCCUAUUCCCAAUAUAGUACACUACUUUAGACCUUGGGCCCUAUGGCACCCUAUUCCCGAUAUAGUGCACUACUUUAGACCUGGGAGUCUGUUUCCUACAGUCUUGAUUCUCAAGGGGAGUCAGUUGACUGUGACAGUGUCACCUUCAUGGUAUAGGCUAUAGUCCUCUGGGUCUCUAGGGCUUGUGUUACACAUACAGGCAGGGAGGGAGACAGGCAGGCAGACAGUUAGACAGAGAGGCAUGCAGGCAAACAGGCAGUUAGACAGAGAGGCAGGCAGGCAAACAGACAGUUAGACAGAGAGGCAGGCAGGCAAACAGGCAGUUAGACAGAGAGGCAUGCAGACAGGCAGGGUGGAAGGCAGGCAAACAGACAGACAGAGAGGUAGGCAGACAGGGAGACAGGCAGGCAGAGAGGAAGACAGACAGGUAGUAGGGUAGCAGGCGGACAGGCAGUUGGACAGAGAGACAGGCAAUUAGACAGCCAGACAGGGAGAGAGGCCGAUAGGGCGGGAGAGAGGGAGAGAUUUAGGGAGGGAAGGAGAAAGAGAGAGAUGCAGGAGGGUAGGCAGGGGGCAACAUAUCACGUGGUGGAGUCCCUCACAGGAGGACGCUGUCCUCUAAUCACCAUGGUGCCUUGUGGGGAAUGGGGAAGUGGCUCUUCUUUACAACCUUGAUUUGCCUAUCUACACUAUCACACACACACACACCGGCCUAUCUAUCCGUCGAUCCUGCGGCUCUAAACAGGCCUUCGCGGUUGAACACAGGCGCUCUGCCACCAGUGCUUUCAAGGAGCUGCAGUAGUAACCC